AUUACUCCUACGGGAGGCAGCAGUAAGGAAUAUUGCUCAAUGGCCGAAAGGCUGAAGCAGCAACGCCGCGUGGAGGAUGAAAUACUUUUGUAUGUAAACUCCUGUGAGAAGGGAAAAAUAUGCAGAUUUUCUGCGUUGAUUGUACCUUCAGAGGAAGCCCCGGCUAACUACGUGCCAGCAGCCGCGGUAAUAAU
rnacentral:rRNA from 1 species